CACCGACUACACACAAAUGGAGAAUGCCGCUUCAUCGAUCGGCGAUCAUGUUGACCUAUGGAGAACACCACUUCACCGACCGGCGAUUAUGUUGACCUUUGCAUACCUUCGACGACCACCGACUGUAGUCCCAUCCACUCCAGAUUUGCCACUUCCACCAAGGACCUACUGUACCCAUGCCACUUCCUUGCUCCAACUAGUAUGGCUAUUACCCAGUCCUUAUCCUCCUUCUUUCCAGCAACACCACCAUUAGCCAGUCUAGCCUGCUAUAUGCCUGCCCUUGUUAUUUAAUACUGCAAAUGUAGGUCAGCGGGUUCUUAACCCAUUCUGCAUAGGAGUAACAAAAUUUAUUUUCCUUGUGUUUCAACCAUAACCACGAUUUAAGUUGGGCAUUGUGGAAAACUUCUUCUGCAUCUACAACUCUUUGGUUAAAGAUAAUUGAGUUUCUAUUCCCAUAGACAUCGGACUACAGUUGCCCACACACCUUUCCAGACCAGGUUUUGUUUAUAAGAGUGUUAGGGGAGGGGAAAACCUUCAAAAUUGGUCCUAAGAUUAUUGUGUUGGACAGACCUUAUACCAACCCAUCUAAAGCAUAAGUCCCACACCCGUACUGCAUACUUACAUUCUACAAAGAGGUGCUGACACGAUUCCUCCUUAAUAUGGCAAAGGGCACAUUCUGUGGUGUUCACCAUCACCCCUCUCUUGCUCAAACACUCCCUUGUUGGUAGUCUACCCAAAAGCACUCUCCACGCAGUGAUGAGCACAUUAGGAAACGCUUUUGUCUUCCAAAGAUAGCCAAAAGGCGAUAUUUGUGUACCUCCUUCGGGCUCUUCAAGGCAUUAUAUGCAGACUUCACUGUAAAGCUCCCUGAUUCGUCCCUCCUCCAUACUUGCUUAUCCUGUUCAUCCUUUUCCAUAGUGACCCUGGAAAUAAGCAUACAAAACUCAGUUUCGAGGGGGACCUCCCACUCAAAUCUGUUGCGUCUCCACCUUAACUUCCACUGCCACACUGACUCCUCCCACAUCCCAACCUCUCCCACCGUCUGGCCCUGAUGUAGUGACAAAGAGAAUAGUCUAGGAAACAGAGC
rnacentral:lncRNA from 1 species